UGGGCUCACACGCAAACCUGGGAUCAAACUGACAGAUGAGUGAUUGCAACACAAUUGUACCAGCCCAUAUUCAUCACAUAAUACAUUACUAAGGUUGUUAGAUAAUUAAAAGAAUUAUGAUGAUAGAUAUUAUAACAUUACAAUUAAUUACAUUCAAAUCCUCACAAAGUAAAAUUCCAUCAGUAAUUAAUUAAUUAAUUAACAGGGUUUUUUAAACAUGCGUUCAUAUUCCGUAAGUGAACAUUUUUCACUCACAGGCAAAAUAAUUAAACACUCCAUGAUAAGCAAACAUGAAUUAUGCAGUUCUGUCAAUUAUACUCUACUGCCACUAUUUGUUAUGAUAUGAUUUCAUGCAUUUUAUUUUUAUUUACUUUUUUGCAUUUCUUAAAGUUUUUAAUCCAAUAUCUUACUCCUGAUUUUAAAGAAAUGGGUAGCGAAAACAAUAAACUCUAUUUACCAUAAUCCUUUGCGCGCCUACGUUGGCUGAGAGCAGCAUGUGCUGCGCUGCUCUGCUCCAACUAUGGCUCAGUGCGGCUCAAGCUCUUCACAGGAGCGCAUCGUAUCGGCUACAGUAGAGACGCUAGCUGGAGCUCGAGCAGAGACCAUCACUGCACAAGGAUAACCCGGCUGCUUUUUCUGCUAUUGGAAAAUAAACACAGCGCUUGAUUUACAAAUUCAGCAAUCACUUUACGCAUUGGUUCGUUUGGCGCAUACAGAGGAUUAAAAGCUGUGGUUACAGCACUGACACACGUGGAGGAGUUAUUGUUAUUAUUAUUUUUUUAAACUUUAUGAUGGCAGAAGCUGAUGGAUUCAACGCGGGAUUUGUAUAUCGUCUUUUAGGAUAUGAGGAAAUAAUGUCUCUUUCACGGGAUGAGUGGUGUACAUUUCUCCUGCUUCCAAAGUCCUGCUGCUGGACCAGCCGUUUGUCGGACAGACGAGUCUCUUGGGAUACUUCGCGCGUGUGGCCAGUGUCACAGUUGGCCAACACUAUGAUAUGAUUUGAAAAUCGAUAUUUGUAGCUGUGGAUUUUGGCACAAUGAAUGGAAUAUCCUGGAAUAUAUUUUGAGAGCGCUGCUCAGCAGAUGGUCAGCUGUUUGGAUACUGACAGAUCUCAUCUCCUCCUCCAGCAGUGAAGAAAUCCAAAUUCUUGGAAUGAGAUGUCGACCUUUAAUUGCCUCCCAGGGAUCCUCUGAUGAUCUCAGGGGAGCACAGAGAAGAGGCUGAGUAAUGGAAACAUGAUCUCAAGAGAUUCAACAGGAUCAUGCUGAAUCCUGGUUUGGACUGAGGACCAGCAUCCCCUGCAGCAGAUGUUUGCUUCUGGCAUGUCUGCUAAUAUCAUGAGCUCCAUUUCUGACAAUCUCGCUCACAUGAUCCAGCGCCAGCAGCUUGGACUUGGAGAUGCUGUAAGACAAACUCUGCAUGAUAGUGCAGUGUGUUCUGCUGCUCAGACAUUAAGGAACAGAUCAGUCAACACUGUCUGGAGAGGCUCUCAUUCGGAAAGUUAACUUGAUGAAAGAUGUUUAUCGCAGUUACCAAGAUGGAUCUACACAUUGUUUGACUUUUCUAAAUUGAACUUGGAUUAAUAUUUUUCCCGUAUAUGUACAUCUGCUUUUGAUAUUCAAUGUUUAUUCACGCUGUUGCCCAUACACUGCAGUUGUGACAUAUACUGUGUUAUUCUGGAUACAGUAUCAACAAGCGCUGGAACUGUAAAUGGAAAAUAAUCAAAUGGUAUUUUCAUUUUUAGGUCUGAAAUUACAGCACUUGCACAGUGCAGUCACGUACAAAAUGUAUUUUGCGAAAAGCACAAAAGGUGUGCACAGUAUUGUAUAAAAUACAUUUCAACAGAUAAGAUCAAGAUUCCCCAGACAAUUACUCAUUUAUUGGAACUUUUAUGUUUUGAUAUCUUCUAAUCGCGAUCACAAAGAAGCCAUUGUAAUCAAGGUGCUUAUGAAUGCAAACCAGAACCUUCUAUAUUGACACUGUGUUUCACAGUGACACAAUUGGCAGCCUUUGUUGUUUUUGGUUAACCCUGCCAAGCAAUUUAUUCUGAUGAUAAUUUAUAGCUCUAUAUCUUUUGUUGUGUCUGUGAAACCUACCAUAAAUAAAGAAAGCGUAUCUAA